GGGGCUGUCAUGGUUUCGACGUGGGUUCGGGAUCAGCGCGGUGCAUGCCGAGCUUGAGUGACGCUCGUAAAUCUCCAUUCAAAAAACUAACUGCAAACGACGAACGUUUCGCACUCGCCGCUUAAUCCGGUGAGCCUUGCAACAGCACGUUGAUGGGCUGGGCAAGGGGGUAGAAAUACCUCCAGGCUGCAAGGGAAUUUACAUCAGCUGGUUCUGCGCCGGGUACCUUGGUGUGGAACAAGAAAAUAGGGUACUGGCCUUGUUUGCAGCGUGCGCCUGCGCGGCAAACCGGGUGAGAUUCAAAACAGAACGCUAAGCAUGUAGAUCUGUCUGACGAAGGCUUGCGGACGCGGGUUCAAUUCCCGCCAGCUCCACCA
rnacentral:tmRNA from 1 species